CAGCAGCCGCGGGAACACGGAGGGGGCAAGCGUUAUCCGGAAUUAUUGGGCGUAAAGGGUGCGCAGGUGGUUUAACAAGUUAGUGGUGAAAGGCAUAGGCUCAACCAAUGUAAGCCAUUAAAACUGUUUAACUUGAGUGCAGGAGAGGAAAGUGGAAUUCCUAGUGUAGCGGUGAAAUGCGUAGAUAUUAGGAGGAAUACCAGUGGCGAAGGCGACUUUCUGGACUGCAACUGACACUGAGGCACGAAAGCGUGGGGAGCAAACAGGAUUAGAUACCCCAGUAGUCCCUGUCUCUUAUACA
rnacentral:rRNA from 1 species